rnacentral:rRNA from 1 species
CAGUCGCCGCGGGAAUACGUAGGUGGCAAGCGUUAUCCGGAAUUACUGGGCGUAAAGCGCACGUAGGCGGCUUUGUAAGUUAGAGGUGAAAGCCCAGAGCUCAACUCUGGAAUUGCCUUUAAGACUGCAUCGCUUGAAUCCAGGAGAGGUGAGUGGAAUUCCGAGUGUAGAGGUGAAAUUCGUAGAUAUUCGGAAGAACACCAGUGGCGAAGGCGGCUUACUGGCUCAUUCUAGACGCUGAGGUGCGAAAGCGUGGGGAGCAAACAGGAUUAGAUACCCCGGUAGUCCCUGUCUCUUAUAC